GGUCGAGUUGUUUUCAGAAUAGAAGUACACAGCCUGCUCUGUUUACCUCCUAGUCCUGCCCUGCCAGAUCUAACCCCAUUCCUUGAUCCAAGCUAAUCCUCUCAGCUAAUCUUCCCAAUCAUGAGUGACAGCCAGGAGGAAACACAGGAAUAGUUCGAUUGUUACACCACACAUGCCCUGCCUUUCAACCAUCCAAGCCUUUCGAUGGGAGGUGAAGUCUCUGUGCUCUAAACUAACAACAAUACCAAGGCCAGAGGUCCCUGGGUGGGUUGGAGGACCAUGUGUACGACAAUGGUGGUCCUCACCACCCUCGCUCUCAUCCUGCGCCAGAGAUUCUCCAACAAAAUCAAGCCGUAAGUACUCACCUUGAGCUAUUUCUACCUUAGUUUUUUGACAGUACCACACAAUUUAAUCAGCUCUUGUCAAUAAAACAAAAAUAAAAUACUUUUAUUUUUAAUCAUUUCUAGAUUCGUAAUCAGAAAUUUCACAAAAUAUCAAUUUAACCACAAUGGGUUUGUGAUUUAAGUGCUAACUAAACAUAGCAUACUUCCAGUCAUUCUUCAAAAUACCAACACAAGCAAGUGCAUGUCUGUUUUUCAUGUGUGGGAGAGUGAGGGAGGUAGUGUGAGUCCUAUCUGCGCCUUUGAUUUCAAAUCACUCUUGUGAUUAUUUUAGGGUUUGCCUCGGGCGGCAGUGUGUGGAUUAAGUGACUCGAUACAUCACAACAGUGUCUUCCAGGUUUUUUUUAAUGGACACAUGAAUAGGGGGUAAAGCAUCUGAGCUCUUCAGCUCACAGCUGCUAAUUGACACAAAGUGCAAUCUUCUCAAGAACGCAUCCCCCCUCCCCUCUACACGACUCACCGCCUGAGCCUUGCAUUACCUUUCACACAGCUAUUGCAAAUCGGGAGCAUUGCAACAGCUAGCUUACACAAUCAGCUAAAAAAAACUAACUGCUUGUUAUUUUAAUGAGUUCAGCCACUUUGCCAGACUGUGUCCAGAUGAUAAAUAUGGAGCUGAGAAUUAUAUUUUUGUCACCUAAUACAGGCAGAAAGCGGCAGCAGAGAGAGAGGUGCCAUACAUGAGAAGCAAUGGAGCCAAUGGAGCAGCAAGCAACACAAAAUGACAAUGAGCAUCACAGGGUAAUUAUGCUCAGAGAAUCAAGUCAAUGAAAAUGACAGCAGGUGUGUGCUUUGAGUAGGGGGCAUGAGUGGGAUACCAUCUUUAUAUUUUUAUCAAACACGUCUUAGCAGCAAGGCCUGUCCUGAAAACAUUAGCACAGUGACCAAGUUCCCUCUAUAGUUGUGUAAAAGCCUCAAUACUUAUAAAAAGUUGCACUCCUGUUGAUGCACAGAACACCUAUGGUAUCAAUUUUGUGUUUACUGACUGAUUAGCAACUGAAACAACAAUGAACAGAGAAAUAUGGAGGUUAAUCUAGUUUUAUUUGGAGAUAAUACCCCUUGUUAGCUUAAGGUCGGACGCAAUGACCUAGCUACCAUCGGCACAGAGAUAUGCUCUGGAUAUUGUGUCUCUCUAUGCUAGGAAUUGUAAGCUAACAUCCUGUUUCAUAGUUUUAUAGGAAACAACCAGUCUUGGAUGUUUUAGCAAACAUUACAGUAUGCUAACUUUUAAUUUGUAUCAGGUUAACCAACUUUCUUGCUAACAUGUGAUUAACUAUCAAAAUGUUAUUUCUAAAGUGCGUAAGUGCUGACACCUUGUGCCUGCAAUUAGCAAAUAGGUUUUAGAAAUAUUGUUUAAUUUAUACAUUUGGCCAGGUUUAUCUCCAGCUUUAAUAUUCAUUUUCUUUUUAUUAGCUACUUUAAACAGAAGUGGGGAACAAACAAUAACUGUAAUUUGCUAAGCCAUUAGCUGUGGCACAUAAAAUGCUAACAAAUGUUGCUAGAAAGCCUUUUUUUACCAUGUGAUGCCACUUCCUCAUCUUCAUAUGCAUGUUCCUCUGUAGCCACACUUCAGGUGGGAGCUCAAUUGAAGAAGGAAGUUGUCUCCCAAAAGUUAACAGUACAAAAUAAAAGGCACAGAUUCAGUGCUGACAUUAGCAUUACCUACAUCAGGUCUAAGGAAUUACCUCAAUUGGCAUGACAGCUCUUGUUCCAGUAACUUGCCUAGAAUCUAGAAAAUAGAAUAAUAAAUGGCAAAUACUGUAGCUGCUAGCAUGAUGUAAUGAUGCAAUGGGUCAAGCUAUGGAGGUAUAAUGGAGGAAGAAACAAGAUCAUCAGGCUAACGGUAGCUUGUGGCUAUCUGCCCAAAGCAGUCAUUGACAAAGUAAUUCACCUUUAAUUUAGCAGAUGUAAUGCAUAGCCAGCAAUCUCUCUAAAGGUCUCUGUAACCUUUUAACACCAAGUUUGAAAAUGUGGCUUUGUUUCUAACGUAUUCAAAUUAGGGCCUAAGUUAGCAACCUUGACGUAAGCCGCCAAAAAUAGGUGUUUCGCAGUGAAACAGGACAGAGUUUGUUCUUAGCCAUGCAUGCUGAAAUCCAAAGGUUUCAAAAAUAACAGCAACACUUGCUGGUAACAGGAGAUCACUGCUUCCAAAUAAAUGUCAAAUUCUAUCCAGUUGGCCAAAAUUUCCUCAGCAGGCUACUCUACAGGCUUUUACAAUGGAAAUGUUAUAUUCUCUAUCAAACAGGAUAAUAUGGCAAAUAUGGCAUACAGUUACUCAUUUGGCGCUCAUAAAUUAAACAAAUCUAGUCACUGCGCUGUUAUUAUCCUGAGACAGGUGUGCUUUCAUGGGCUUAUAUAUCAUGUCUACACAUACGAAACAGUCUUUACAGCAUGACCUCACCCCAGUGUGUAUCAAACCCCAACAUGUGCAGAGGCACAAGGGCCCGUUCAUCAACCCUUGCAGCUUUAAUUCUAUUUAAAUCUAAUUAAACCGAUGUAAUUGUUUUAAGAAUAACUGUAAAGGCGGGAGGAAAAAGAAUAAAAGUACCUUGUUAUGCUCCCUGUUUUCCAGUUCAAAGGAAAUUACUUUGAUUUUGAAUCCAACACAACCAAUAAAACUAGGAUUUACUAAUAUGCCAUUUUUGUUGUUAGCUGGAGUCCCUGAACCUGAAGUGAGGCAAAUCCUUCAAAUGAUUCAAUAAAACCCUCGACUACACGCAGUGAUAAUCUCUCUUUAGGUUGAACGGACAGGAGACGAGUCAGGAGUUGUAGGAAGGUCCAAUGGUGAUGUAAUUCCCAGGUAUACGGGGUGAGGUGUGAAAAAGCUAAUGAAAUCACAGGGUCAUGCUCUCUGACUUAAACAAGCUUUUCCACAGGAGCAAUUAAAUCUGUACUUAAGCAAGUACUUGAGCAGAGAAAUCAGAAUUCAGGCUUUUUCUAAGAAUUUGGAGGUCAGCGUCUGACUUCUGACUGUUGAUCUCAGAAAUCUUACUCUAAAAUCAGAUUUCAAAGUUUUUUUUCUGAGAAUACAGAGAUUAAAAUCAGAAUUCUGUGAAAAAUUCAGAAUCCUUUGGCUAAUGUCUGAUCUUUUUUUUUUAAAUCAACUUGAGAUUAGAGUUAGAGUUUAAAAAAAAUGCGUUGAUAUACCAUCAGUCUGACAGGAUAUUUCUAACUUGAAAUAAAACAAAUUUACCAAGAUUUUAGUUAGCUUUUUUUCCCUUAGAACUGAUCUUGUUUUAUCUUCUGCAUAUCUUUCUUGAGACUGGCAGUGUUGAUGUUUUUUGGAGGAUUUUAGCCGUUAUGUAGCUUUAUAAUAGGUACAAUUAAACCCAUGUUGAAAAGAUGUAGGGUAGAUUAAUUUUAGAUUUAUUUUUAUUGCAAAUUCAAAAGACAGAACUGCAAACAAACACAAAACUGGAAAUUAAAGAGAGAGAAAUAAAGAGAGAAAAUAUCCAGUUGGGACAUAGGGAUCUGAAAGGUUGUGCGUCUGCGUGUCAUGUGAAGGGAGGUUUUCAGAGGGGGUCUCCAGACAAAGGGGAGAAAGUGGAGCAUGUUACCGAGGCACAGAUGCAUAAAGAGUUAAGAUGCGUGCCCCACAUUUAUCCAUGAGUAUUCAUUUCUACACUGCUAAUAUAAAUGAUUCAGAGGCAGAACAACAAUCCCUCAGCUCUUUGAAGGGUAUACUGUACCUUAAUGUAACUUCAGUUAGUGUGUUAACAUUUUACUUUAUUUGUAUUUUUUAAAUAUAAAAUAAAGACAAUAUUGCAAAUGAGAUCCAAAACGUAAACAAAGAUGAAGAAUAACCAAGAAACAAUGGAAAGCAGAAAUUCCAUUAACAAUGCAUCAGCAGAGUUCAGCAGCAAGAGGUGCAUUAACCCAUACUCCUACAUUUUUAAUCUCCAGUACUGAUAUAAUAAUGAGUCUAAAGUGGCUGAGUAGUUUGUACUAAGAUGAGUGAGCAAAAUUAAUUUAUGUAUUUGUUUGCUUGACAGGACAAAAAAGUACAAGAACCAUGGGUUUAUAAAGUAGACACAGUAGAUGUCGUGUAUAAAGGUUUCUAGCUGUGGCAAAUUUGCAGUCCGUGUCCUGCAAAACAAACAAAAAAAAGCAAGAGAAUGAGUGAAGUGUUUUUACACCACAUUCAUACACUGCUGGCGGCUGUGCAAAGCACCAUCAGUAUUGGCUAAUGGUAUUCACACAUCUCUGGUACAGCCACCGGGGGCCAUUUGGGGUUAAGUGUUUUGCUGAGGACACUUCAGCAUGUGGACAACAGGACCCGGGAUCAAACCACCAAUCUGCUAAUUGAGAGCCACAAAAACAUAACAGGUCCUGAGGAAGCAACAUAAGAGAAGAGAAGAGAAGAGAAGGCAGCAAAACAAAAGAGAAAAAAGCAGAAGUGGAUGCAAAAUAAAAUCAGAUAAGGGGGCAAAGGAAAAAACAGGCAAGGAACUAAAACAUAAACAGAUGAGGGAGCAAAAAACAUUGUGAGAAAAACAAAAGAGGGAGCAAAAUAAGAACAAAAGAGGGGACAAAUAAACAGGAAAAGGGUGAAAAUUACUACUAAUGCUAUGAGCACUAUUGAUAAUGAUAAUUUUAUAUAAAUAGCACCUUUAAAAAUAUGUAUAUAUAUACAUUAGAAGAAAAACAGAAGAAAUCAAGAAUAAACUAAAUAACAGAAGAAGUCAACAACAAAACCCUAACCUCAACAAACUACACUAUACAAACUACAUUAAAGAUCCUAUAAGAAGUUUUUUCACAUUCAUUAAUAGUCUGCAAUCCAUAUUGGUGCCUUUUGAGGCAACUGAUACUGUAAAGUGGAGGAGCGCUGAUGGAAAAAGGUUUGGUCACCCUUUGAUUCUAGACUUCAGAACAGCGGAGAGAACGCUGCCUGAGGAUCUAAGGCUCAUUGGGAAGUCCACGUUUCAGUUAUACAGCUCCGAACCAAGCUUGUAAGGCUUAAAAUGUGAUCAAUACAAUUUUAAAACCAAUUCUACAACAAAUGGGAGCAAAUGUAGGGAGGUUUAAACAAGGGUGAUGUGAUGUUGUCUGUUGUGAAGCCGUGAUGUGGCAUUCUGGACCAGUUGGAGGCAAGAGAGAGCUUUAUAUCUGAUAAGAGAGAGUUACAGUAAUCAAGUGACACUGUUUAUGACUUUAUGUCAGAGUUUAUAUUCCCUGAUGUUGAACUUUGUUGUAUUUUGUUAACAGAACUCCCUUUCAUCCAAUUUGUGUUUUUCAGUGGCCUCUGCUAUCAAGACUUCUGCCCACCCACCGGAUACAACUGGAGAGAUUUCCUGUUUUCUGUCUCUCGCUGAUCACAUUCUGAUUCAUUUGUACUUGACAGCUCAUGCCAAGACUCCCACCAGGGCUUCAAAAACAAAAGUGGGCUAGAAAAAAUAGUGGGGCCUGGUUUGAUGGAGGCUGUCCUGCAGAUGCUCUCACUGCUGAAACAGGAUACAGCAAGCCAGAGAGUCCCAGCGCGGGAAAUAAAAACAAACUCUGUGUCCUGUUGAAGCAGAGUGCACUAUCAUCAGAAAUUUUCUCCAAUUUUCUUGUCAAAAAACUUCCCCAAACAUAACAUGUGCCUCUAUUUUCUGAUUUUCUUGAAAUUAAUUGAAAUGGAUGGUGUUAAAUGUGUGUAUGAGGACAGGAUGAGCUUUGGCUGAAUUUAUGUUAAGUGACUUCAUUGCUAACGGUUGAGAUGUGUAGGUCAUAAAGCAUGGUUAGAGAGAUAGUAGAGGCAUUUUGAAAAUAUCUAUAGUAUCAAUAUUUUAUAGAAUUCACAGGGGUCAUAUAAAGCACUGAAAUGCAAGUAUGUGUGUGCUUCUGGAUGCCGACAAGAGAACAUUUCUGAUAAACACCCAGAGUGAUUUAAACUGCUUACUUUAGGUGAACACUGUGCAUAUUUCUGCUGGCACUUUUUGAGAUGGUUUGGUUUAAUCCAUUCAAAUUGUAUCCUGCUAUUGCUAUUUGUAGUGUGUCAUAUCUUCAAUAAAUAUGAUCCAUGUUUCUAAAUAAAUCUUAAAAAUGCUAUGGAAUUUCUGUCGUGGUGUUCCUCUCAAAAGUGCCUACAAUGAAGCCUUUUCUAUUGCUUUAUAAUCACUUGUGAUUGCUGAGGUUGACCAUGUUUACUGUAGUUCCAUUGAAACUUUAAGCUCAGGAUCUAAAGUCAAUUGAUUAGUUUACUUGAGGUGAACAAAGCUUGUUUUCACAUUGUAAACGGGUUAAUUUAUCUUGUUAUCCUCAUAAAACAAAGGAGCAAUCCCCUCUAAGUAAUAAGACCAUUUAACAGUCUUAUACGGUCAACGUGAAGCAAAAGUGGCCUUUGAGGACAAGAAGUUCCUGUGAUGCAUGGUCAGUAUGAUUAUCAUUUUUACCAUCAAAAACAUACCAAUAUAGAAUCUUUUGGACACAAAAAAAAACUAACAAAAAAAAAACAAAAAACUUUUUAGUCUUUGUCUCCAAAUUUGUGUGUUUUGGGCGGUUGCUCAUUAAAAAAAACACAUUUGUCUUUAGUACAUCUAUUUUGUGCCAUAGCAAAGCAUAGCAGUGCAAUUUGGCGCCCUCUGUUGAAGCCCUUUUGUCAACAAAAACAAAUCGUUUAGCUAUUAUACACAAGUAAUUAUAAUCUAAUUUAGACACACUUAUGAGUUUAAUAUUAGAUAUCUAUCAAAUCUGUUGUGCUAAAUGCUGCCAAAUACCACACCUUUGGACAAAAUUUUGGGUAAAAUCAUGACAUUGGCAUUGGCUGAAUAGUAAGGCUGAGAUAGAUAGAUACACUCACCGGCCACUUUAUUAGGUACACCAUGCUAGUAACGGGUUGGACCCCCUUUUGCCUUCAGAACUGCCUCAAUUCUUCGUGGCAUAGAUUCAACAAGGUGCUGGAAGCAUUCCUCAGAGAGCUUGGUCCAUAUUGACAUGACGGCAUCACACAGUUGCCGCAGAUUUGUCGGCUGCACAUCCAUGAUGCAAAUCUCCCGUUCCACCACAUUCCAAAGAUGCUCUAUUGGAUUGAGAUCUGGUGACUGUGGAGGCCAUUUGAGUACAGUGAACUCAUUGUCAUGUUCAAGAAACCAGUCUGAGAUGAUUCCAGCUUUAUGACAUGGCGCAUUAUCCUGCUGAAAGUAGCCAUCAGAAGUUGGGUACAUUGUGGUCAUAAAGGGAUGGACAUGGUCAGCAACAAUACUCAGGUAGGCUGUGGCGUUGCAACGAUGCUCAAUUGAUACCAAGGGGCCCAAAGAGUGCCAAGAAAAUAUUCCCCACACCAUGACACCACCACCACCAGCCUGAACCGUUGAUACAAGGCAGGAUGGAUCCAUGCUUUCAUGUUGUUGACGCCAAAUUCUGACCCUACCAUCCAAAUGUCGCAGCAGAAAUCGAGACUCAUCAGACCAGGCAACGUUUUUCCAAUCUUCUAGUGUCCAAUUUCGAUGAGCUUGUGCAAAUUGUAGCCUCAGUUUCCUGUUCUUAGCUGAAAGGAGUGGCACCCGGCGUGGUCUUCUGCUGCUGUAGCCCAUCUGCCUCAAAGUUCGACGUACUGUGUGUUCAGAGAUGCUCUUCUGCCUACCUUGGUUGUAACGGGUGGUUAUUUGAGUCACUGUUGCCUUUUUAUCAGCUCGAACCGGUCUGGCCAUUCUCCUCUGACCUCUGGCAUCAACAAGGCAUUUCCGCCCACAAAACUGCCGCUCACUGGAUAUUUUUUCUUUUUCGGACCAUUCUCUGUAAACCCUAGAGAUGGUUGUGUGUGAAAAUCCCAGUAGAUCAGCAGUUUCUGAAAUACUCAGACCAGCCC
rnacentral:lncRNA from 1 species